rnacentral:rRNA from 1 species
GUGGGGAAUAUUGGACAAUGGGGGAAACCCUGAUCCAGCAAUGCCGCGUGAGUGAAGAAGGCCUUAGGGUUGUAAAGCUCUUUCGCCCGCGAAGAUAAUGACGGUAGCGGGAGAAGAAGCCCCGGCUAACUCCGUGCCAGCAGCCGCGGUAAUACGGAGGGGGCUAGCGUUGUUCGGAAUUACUGGGCGUAAAGCGUACGUAGGCGGAUGCGCAAGUUGGGGGUGAAAUCCCGGGGCUUGACCUCGGAAUUGCCCUCAAAACUGCACGUCUUGAGACCGAGAGAGGUAAGGGGAAUUCCUAGUGUAGAGGUGAAAUUCGUAGAUAUUAGGAAGAACACCAGUGGCGAAGGCGCCUUACUGGCUCGGUACUGACGCUGAGGUACGAAAGCGUGGGGAGCAAACA